CGCGUAGGUGGUUUGUUAAGUUGGAUGUGAAAGCCCAGGGCUCAACCCUGGAAGUGCAUUUGAUACUGCCAUGCUUGAGUAUGGGAGAGGAGAGCGGAAUUCCCAGUGUAGAGGUGAAAUUCGUAGAUAUUGGGAGGAACACCCGUGGCGAAGGCGGCUCUCUGGACCAAUACUGACGCUGAGACGCGAAAGCGUGGGGAGCAAACAGGAUUAGAUACCCUGGUAGUCC
rnacentral:rRNA from 1 species